AGUCGAGGGGCAGCGAGGGUAGUAAUACCUGUCGGCGACCGGCGCACGGGUGAGUAACGCGUAUGUAACCUGCCCGCAACAGUGGGAUAACCCGGCGAAAGUCGGACUAAUACCGCAUAAAACAGGGGUCCCGCAUGGGAAUAUUUGUUAAAGAUUUAUCGGUUGCGGAUGGGCAUGCGUACCAUUAGGUAGUUGGUGAGGUAACGGCUCACCAAGCCUUCGAUGGUUAGGGGUUCUGAGAGGAAGGUCCCCCACACUGGUACUGAGACACGGACCAGACUCCUACGGGAGGCAGCAGUGAGGAAUAUUGGUCAAUGGGCGAGAGCCUGAACCAGCCAAGUCGCGUGAAGGAUGACUGCCCUAUGGGUUGUAAACUUCUUUUACAAGGGAAUAAAAUGAGAUACGUGUAUUUUAUUGCAUGUACCUUGGGAAUAAGCAUCGGCUAACUCCGUGCCAGCAGCCGCGGUAAUACGGAGGAUGCGAGCGUUAUCCGGAUUUAUUGGGUUUAAAGGGUGCGUAGGUGGGCUGUUAAGUCAGCGGUGAAAGUUUGUCGCUUAACGAUAAAAUUGCCGUUGAAACUGGUAGUCUUGAGUAUAGAUGAAGUAGGCGGAAUGCGUGGUGUAG
rnacentral:rRNA from 1 species